rnacentral:lncRNA from 1 species
AACUGAUAAAAAGAGUGAAAUCUCCAGGCUCCAGUAUUCGUUGUUAGAUUUGACUCCAGCAAGUCCAGUCCUUGGGGAGUGGUGAAACACAAAGCAUGCCAGAGCUUGAACAGCAAUGUAAACAAAAUGUCAUUCCAUUCAUUUGCUGUUGUUUGAAAGCAUAGUUGUCACUUCACCUUGCUAUAGAAUCAUCAAUAAUUUAUCUGCAACUGCUUCUCAAUGGGAUUACUUGGAUUCUCUUUCCCAAGAAUGAGCAAGCAGCUGGGGCCCAGAUGCUCAUCAGGGUUAAUAAAAUAAAGGAUUAUUUCCUAAAAUAUUCUGUUAACAGGAGGAAAU